GUGGCAUAGUGGUUAGAGCGUCCGCCUCAGGUGCGGGACGUCGCGGGUUCUUAAACCUCGGCAAUGUCA